AUGAACGCUGGCGGCGUGCUUAACACAUGCAAGUCGAACGAAGCAAUUUAGCGGAAGUUUUCGGAUGGAAGUUAAAUUGACUGAGUGGCGGACGGGUGAGUAACGCGUGGGUAACCUGCCUCACACUGGGGGACAACAGUUAGAAAUGACUGCUAAUACCGCAUAAGCGCACAGGACCGCAUGGUCCGGUGUGAAAAACUCCGGUGGUGUGAGAUGGACCCGCGUUUGAUUAGCUAGUUGGUGGGGUAACGGCCUACCAAGGCGACGAUCAAUAGCCGACCUGAGAGGGUGACCGGCCACAUUGGGACUGAGACACGGCCCAAACUCCUACGGGAGGCAGCAGUGGGGAAUAUUGCACAAUGGGGGAAACCCUGAUGCAGCGACGCCGCGUGAGUGAAGAAGUAUUUCGGUAUGUAAAGCUCUAUCAGCAGGGAAGAAAAUGACGGUACCUGACUAAGAAGCCCCGGCUAACUACGUGCCAGCAGCCGCGGUAAUACGUAGGGGGCAAGCGUUAUCCGGAUUUACUGGGUGUAAAGGGAGCGUAGACGGUAAAGCAAGUCUGAAGUGAAAGCCCGGGGCUCAACUCCGGGACUGCUUUGGAAACUGUUUAACUAGAGUGCUGGAGAGGUAAGCGGAAUUCCUAGUGUAGCGGUGAAAUGCGUAGAUAUUAGGAGGAACACCAGUGGCGAAGGCGGCUUACUGGACAGUAACUGACGUUGAGGCUCGAAAGCGUGGGGAGCAAACAGGAUUAGAUACCCUGGUAGUCCACGCCGUAAACGAUGAAUGCUAGGUGUUGGAGGGUUUCCGCCCUUCAGUGCCGCAGCUAACGCAAUAAGCAUUCCGCCUGGGGAGUACGACCGCAAGGUUGAAACUCAAAGGAAUUGACGGGGGCCCGCACAAGCAGUGGAGUAUGUGGUUUAAUUCGAAGCAACGCGAAGAACCUUACCAAAUCUUGACAUCCCUCUGACCGGCGAGUAAUGUCGCCUUUCCUUCGGGACAGAGGAGACAGGUGGUGCAUGGUUGUCGUCAGCUCGUGUCGUGAGAUGUUGGGUUAAGUCCCGCAACGAGCGCAACCCUUAUCCUAAGUAGCCAGCAGUUCGGCUGGGCACUCUUGGGAGACUGCCAGGGAUAACCUGGAGGAAGGUGGGGAUGACGUCAAAUCAUCAUGCCCCUUAUGAUUUGGGCUACACACGUGCUACAAUGGCGUAAACAAAGAGAAGCGAGAUCGCGAGGUGGAGCAAAUCUCAAAAAUAACGUCUCAGUUCGGACUGCAGGCUGCAACUCGCCUGCACGAAGCUGGAAUCGCUAGUAAUCGCGAAUCAGAAUGUCGCGGUGAAUACGUUCCCGGGUCUUGUACACACCGCCCGUCACACCAUGGGAGUCAGUAAUGCCCGAAGUCAGUGACCCAACCGAAAGGAGGGAGCUGCCGAAGGCAGGACCGAUAACUGGGGUG
rnacentral:rRNA from 1 species